rnacentral:rRNA from 1 species
AAUAGAUACCCGGGUAGUCCACGCCGUAAACGAUGAGUGCUAAGUGUUAGAGGGUUUCCGCCCUUUAGUGCUGCAGCUAACGCAUUAAGCACUCCGCCUGGGGAGUACGGUCGCAAGACUGAAACUCAAAGGAAUUGACGGGGGCCCGCACAAGCGGUGGAGCAUGUGGUUUAAUUCGAAGCAACGCGAAGAACCUUACCAGGUCUUGACAUCCUCUGACAACUCUAGAGAUAGAGCGUUCCCCUUCGGGGGACAGAGUGACAGGUGGUGCAUGGUUGUCGUCAGCUCGUGUCGUGAGAUGUUGGGUUAAGUCCCGCAACGAGCGCAACCCUUGAUCUUAGUUGCCAGCAUUCAGUUGGGCACUCUAAGGUGACUGCCGGUGACAAACCGGAGGAAGGUGGGGAUGACGUCAAAUCAUCAUGCCCCUUAUGACCUGGGCUACACACGUGCUACAAUGGAUGGUACAAAGGGCUGCAAGACCGCGAGGUCAAGCCAAUCCCAUAAAACCAUUCUCAAUUCGGAUUGUAGG